CAACUUUUGACGGUGGAUCUCUUGGCUCACGCAUCGAUGAAGUACGCAGCCAGCUGCGAUAAGUAGUGUGAAUUGCAGAAUUCAGUGAAUCAUCGAAUCUUUGAACGCAAAUGGCGCUCUUGGGUUCUCCCAGGAGCAUGUCUGUCUGAGUGUCGGAU
rnacentral:rRNA from 1 species